rnacentral:lncRNA from 1 species
UAAAGGUAUGUUUCCUAAUCUUCGUGAUAUAAGAAGACGUAUAUGUGGUUAACCCUUUAAGCGGCAGUGUAGCAGAUCUGCUACAAAUAGAAAAGUGCGCGAAUUUUUCGCAGUCUGGGUCUAGUUUCUUCUUUUACCCACAAUGCAAUACAGCCCACGUUGUUGACAUUGUUGUAAUGGCGAAAAUUUUUACCAAAGUGGCUUUUAGACCGAGAAAAUGAUGUCCAAAUCACAGUGAUUUCGGUAAGUUUUAAAGCUCUAAGUUCGUGACAAUGUUCUAUCUUUGUAAAGCGCUCUAGGGUAUAAGUUUUAGUAUAUUAUAAUUUGACAUAAGGCAGUCUUUUCAUAUCGUAUUUGUGUGUUUGUAUAAAUUCGUUUGUAUGUAUUGAAUAAUUUCAUAAAGGCAUUUGUAGCAUAUCUGCUACAUUGCCGCGAAGUGGUCACUGAAGCUCAGAUUACAUGAACAUUAUAUUUUUAAUAAAAGACACAACAUGUGCUGUAUUUUACUGCAAUUUCCUUUGAAUAUAGUUACAACAAGUAAAUAUUUCUUUUGUCUUCAGUAUUGGGCCUCUUGGCUGCAGGUUAAACCAGUUGAACAUUAUAUUUUACACUGUUUUAUAGUGUUUAUGUAUAUAUGCCCAUACUGUGUAUAUACUAUGUAUUAGUAAAACUAUUGUAAGCUUGAUUUUAUCCCUUUUCAUCAUGUUCAUGAGCUUCAGUGCAACAGUGGUCAGAUCCAUAUUAAGUUCUCACCUCUGAAUAUAGUGGCCUUGUUUCUCGGCUGCGAACCCUAUGACUUUCUCAUGUGAAAAUAAACAAGCGAACGCUCUGCCGGAAGUUGUAGGUUUCAUCCCGGUAAUAGGAUUCGUCAUGUUUCCUCAAACAUGAAAAGUUGACACUGAAGCACUAUUACAAUUCAUAUUACAAAUAUAUAGAGCUAUAGUCUAGUAGGGAGUGAGCUGAAUAUUUAUUCCGCCUUCAAGGAUGUUCAUUGCUACCAAACAAGGACAGCAAUAAAGCGGUAUGUGCCACCAUGGACUUCAAGUCUGAUACAGAGUUGGGAAUAAUUGUGAUAAAAUGGUUGGACAACAACAUUGUCCACAUCGCCUCCAAUUAUAUCGGUGUGGAACCAUUGGGUUCAGUUCAACGGUGGUCCCCAAAAGGAAGAGCAUCCAGUGCCCACAGGUGAUCUUGCACUGUUGAUAAGGCUGACAUGCUCAUCGUACAGAAUCAAUUUCAACGCCAGAAGGUGGUGGCAAAGGUCAAUGCCGGGCUCCUCUACUGCAGGCAUUGUGAUCAGUUGAGAAUUCGAAAGAAAUAAAGCUUGUCGUUCCUAGACUUUGUUUUGAAAAUUUCCGAGAGCUUGAUCAGUGCCAACAAAGUUGUUCCCAUGGAAACAACCAGUGGUAAGCCAAGCAGACCAAGCAAAUGAAAAUUGUCUGAGGCAGCUGGUCCAUCAGUAAAGGUUGGUUGCAAACCCACUACACCUUUACCAUCAAAUGAUACACGGUAUGACCAACUUGGACGUUGGCCCAACCCCGUGAAUGGUAACCACCAUCAAUGUCGCCAUUGUAAAGAUGGGUUUUCCAAAAUAUUUUGCGGCAAAUGUAAGAUUUGUCUCUGCUUAGAGAGGGAGAAAACUGUUUUCUGGACAACCAUAAUAAAUAACUUUCAUUUUGAACUAGAACUUUUCUAUAUCUAAUGUUGCGAAUAUAUUAUAAUACUGUAUAUACUAUAUAUAUACUUAC